ACCACGCCAGUCCAGAUCCUCUACAUCAGGGGAGGGGGUGCUGAGGAGUGUCUGUCUGUAAUGAAGCCCAUUUGUCCGGACAACUCAUUCUGAGUGGGUGGGCCUGGCUCUUAAGUGGGUGGGCCUAAGCCCUCCCAGGCCCAUGCUGGAUCUGGCUCCCCAGUGGGUGGGCCUAAGCCCUCCCAGGCCCAUCCAUGGCUACGCCCCUGCCCAGUCAUGUGAAUUCCAUUAGAUUACGACCGAAUGAAUUUAUUUCAUCAAAUGAACGGAGUGUAAAUCAUUGCCAUGUUUGUUCAGUAUAUAUUUAACAGGCAGGUUAGCAUUACCAAACACAUUUCCUCAUUGAUAUGUUUGUUCAGUAUAUAUUUAACAGGCAGGUUAGCAUUACCAAACACAUUUCCUCAUUGAUCCGAGCUGAAUUGUGACUAACAGUUGGGUAUAAAAUGCUGUUGUCUGGU